GAGAACUGUGGUAGAAACUCAACAAAUAAUUAUUAAAUGAAUAAGGAUGAGGGUUAAACAAGAUAAGUAAUAAGUGAAGUACAGUUUUACAGCAUUUCCCUAUAGUUAGCUCUAUGAGUUUUAAUCUCAAGCACAACUUGGUUUUCGCAGCACUGGCUUGUCCCUUCCUCAAACUAUCUUGCACUUAGAAACUUGUGAAAACUCAGUGAGGUUUUGCUAGAUUCCUCUUAGUUUUAGGUCAAAUUUCUGGGAGUAUCAUAAUAUAAGUCUAACUAUUACUACCUAAAGCCUCUUUGGGAAAAAUUCCACAUCCCUUGCUCUGCUGCUCUAGAUCUUCUGCUGGGGAAAGUUCUGUUGAAAUGACCGGGCUCUUUAGCUUUCUGCAUCUGAGCAAUUUCUCAACUCCCUUUGGCCUCUGUACAACAGGACACCUUUGCUCUGAGGCUUUCUUCUAGAUUCACUUUAUUUUUUCCUUUGGCCAGGUCUUCUUCUUUUUAAUCUCAGUUCUUUUCCUCUGCUUCCAGGAUUGUUGACCUGAUGUCUGUCAAUCCACUCUGGCCCAACAAGCUACCAUCAUUCUACUCAGAGUCAUGCUGACGAAUAGAGAGGUGAUGUGUCAAGAGACCCAUUUGGUGAAAUGGAAAUUGGAAGAAACCUAAAGCAACAGAGUAGGGAAUGGAAAGCUUGUCCCUGGCUGAUGGGAAGCACUGUGGAUUGAAGCCAUGUACCAGUACAAACACUUCUGGGGAAAUAUACAUGAUGGACAAUAACUGUGUUCUUCCAACAGCAUCUAAUCUCAAAUUCCUCUCUGUAGGAGGAAAAAAAAGGCAUAAACCUUCCAAUCUGGCAGUAGAUACAUAAGUUUUAUGUUGGAAGACUUCUGGAGAAGGUGGAUGGGUCACUCUAAAGUGAUGGAACCACAAGAAAUACUCAAGGAACAAAAUAAUACUUGCUCUUGAAAAUAAGAUGCUGCCAAUUUCUUGAGCUACAGUUUAUGGUUUCAGUGGUUUGGUUAUUUGGAUCUCCAUUACUUCUCCAGGUUGGGUAAGAGAUACCAGAGACUCUCAGAUCAAAAUAUUUCACAGUAGCAAAAGUAGAAAUAAAUACAAAAGAGGCAGAACA
rnacentral:lncRNA from 12 species